AUACGGAGGGUGCAAGCGUUGUUCGGAAUCACUGGGCGUAAAGGGCGCGCAGGCGGUUUGGUAAGUCAGAUGUGAAAGCCCACGGCUCAACCGUGGAAGUACAUUUGAAACUGUCAGACUUGAGUACUAGAGGGGAAAGUGGAAUUCCCGGUGUAGAGGUGAAAUUCGUAGAUAUCGGGAGGAAUACCGGUGGCGAAGGCGACUUUCUGGCUAGAUACUGACGCUGAGGCGCGAAAGCGUGGGGAGCAAACAGGAUUAGAAACCCUGGUAGUCC
rnacentral:rRNA from 1 species